rnacentral:rRNA from 1 species
CCUACGGGUGGCAGCAGUGGGGAAUCUUGCGCAAUGCGCGAAAGCGUGACGCAGCAACACCGCGUGAGGGAAGACGGCCUUAGGGUUGUAAACCUCUUUCAGAUGGGACGCGGUACCGUCAGAAGAAGCUCCGGCUAACUACGUGCCAGCAGCCGCGGUAAUACGUAGGGAGCGAGCGUUGUCCGGAAUCAUUGGGCGUAAAGAGCAUGUAGGUGGAUCAAUUAGUCUGCUGUGAAAGUCAAAGGCUCAACCUUUGAAAGCCGGUGGAUACUGUUGGUCUAGAGUACGGAAGAGGCGAGUGGAAUUCCUGGUGUAGCGGUGGAAUGCGCAGAUAUCAGGAGGAACACCAAUAGCGAAGGCAGCUCGCUGGACGUACUGACACUGAGAUGCGAAAGCGUGGGGAGCAAACAGGAUUAGAUACCCUUGUAGUC